rnacentral:rRNA from 1 species
GUAUAAAAUUUAUUUAUUUAUUUUAUUUUUAAAUUUGCAUAAAAUAAUUUAAUAAAAAUAAUUUCAGAACAAAAAUUUUAGUAAUUUUUAAAGAAAAAAUAAUUUAAAUAAUAGUAAAUUAGUAUUGUAAAAGAAUAUUGAAAUAAUUUGAAAAAUUUUUAUUUUAAAAGAAAAUUUAAUUUAUUGUACCUUGUGUAUCAGGGUUUAUUAAAUAAUUAAUAAUUAUAGUUGUUUUUUUCGAAUUUUAAAGAUUUAAUUAUAUAAAAAAGUUAAUGUUGAAUAAUUAUUUUUAAUAUAUAAUUAGAAAUGAAAUGUUAAUCGUUAUAAAAUAUAUCUAGUUUUUUAAGAAAUAAAUUUAAUUUAGAUUUAUAUAUUUAAUUUAUUAAUUUAAAAAUAAAUUAAAUUCAUAAAAUUAAUAUUUUAAGGGAUUAGCUUUAAAAUAAAUUUUUAAAUUUUUUAAAUUUAAAAUUAAAAUGUAAGCUUAAAAUUAGUUAUCAAUAGUAAUUUUGUUAUAAAUUAUUUAUAAAAAUAAAUUAUUUAUUAUUAAAUUAAAUUUUUUAUUAAAAUAUUUAUUUUAAUAAUAAAAAUAAAGAAAAUAUGAUAAAAUUAGUAUAUAAAAUGUGUAUAAAUAAAUUUAAUUGAAAGGUUUAAAUAAGGAAUUCGGCAAAUUUUAUAUUCACCUGUUUAUCAAAAACAUGUCUUUUUGAAUUUAAUUUAAAGUCUAACCUGCCCACUGAAAUUUUAAAGGGCCGCAGUAUUUUGACUGUGCAAAGGUAGCAUAAUCAAUAGUCUUUUAAUUGAAGGCUUGUAUGAAUGGUUGAAUGAGAUAUAAACUGUCUUUUUUAAAAUUUUAUAGAAUUUUAUUUUUAAAUUAAAAAGUUUAAAUGUAAUUAAAAGACGAGAAGACCCUAUAGAUCUUUAUUUUUAUUUUUUAUAAGUUAAUAAGAUUAGAUAAAAUUAUAAAAUAAUUAAAAAUUUUACUGGGGUGGUAUUAAAAUUUAAAAAACUUUUAUUUUUUAUUACAUAAAUAUAUGAAUAAUUGAUCCAAUUUUAUUGAUUAAAAAAUUAAGUUACCUUAGGGAUAACAGCGUAAUUUUUUUUUAGAGUUCAUAUCGACAAAAAAGAUUGCGACCUCGAUGUUGGAUUAAGAAUUAUUUUUAGGUGUAGAAGUUUAAAGUUUAAGUCUGUUCGACUUUUAAAUUCUUACAUGAUCUGAGUUCAAACCGGUGUAAGCCAGGUUGGUUUCUAUCUUUAAUAAAUUAUUAUAUUAUAGUACGAAAGGACCUAAUAUAAAAAAUAUAAAUUUUAUUAAAUUGAAUUAUAAUAAAAUUAUUUACUAUUUUGGCAGAUUAGUGCAAUAAAUUUAGAA